rnacentral:rRNA from 1 species
AGUCGAGCGGUAGAGAGAAGCUUGCUUCUCUUGAGAGCGGCGGACGGGUGAGUAAUGCCUAGGAAUCUGCCUGGUAGUGGGGGAUAACGUUCGGAAACGAACGCUAAUACCGCAUACGUCCUACGGGAGAAAGCAGGGGACCUUCGGGCCUUGCGCUAUCAGAUGAGCCUAGGUCGGAUUAGCUAGUUGGUGAGGUAAUGGCUCACCAAGGCGACGAUCCGUAACUGGUCUGAGAGGAUGAUCAGUCACACUGGAACUGAGACACGGUCCAGACUCCUACGGGAGGCAGCAGUGGGGAAUAUUGGACAAUGGGCGAAAGCCUGAUCCAGCCAUGCCGCGUGUGUGAAGAAGGUCUUCGGAUUGUAAAGCACUUUAAGUUGGGAGGAAGGGCAGUUACCUAAUACGUAAUUGUUUUGACGUUACCGACAGAAUAAGCACCGGCUAACUCUGUGCCAGCAGCCGCGGUAAUACAGAGGGUGCAAGCGUUAAUCGGAAUUACUGGGCGUAAAGCGCGCGUAGGUGGUUUGUUAAGUUGAAUGUGAAAUCCCCGGGCUCAACCUGGGAACUGCAUCCAAAACUGGCAAGCUAGAGUAUGGUAGAGGGUGGUGGAAUUUCCUGUGUAGCGGUGAAAUGCGUAGAUAUAGGAAGGAACACCAGUGGCGAAGGCGACCACCUGGACUGAUACUGACACUGAGGUGCGAA